CGCAUCUGUGCAUGCAGCAUAUCAAUAAGCGGAGGAAAAGAAACUAACAAGGAUUCCCUUAGUAACGGCGAGUGAAGCGGGAAGAGCUCAAAUUUGAAAUCUUCAAGGGUUUACCUUUACGAAUUGUAGUUUAAAGAAGUGUUUUCUGUUGAAGUUUUGGUAAAAGUUCUUUGGAAUAGGACAUCAUAGAGGGUGAGAAUCCCGUAUUUGACCAUUUACUUUCAGCUGUGUGAUACACUUUCAAAGAGUCGGAUUGUUUGGGAAUGCAGUCCAAAAUGGGUGGUAAAUUUCAUCUAAAGCUAAAUAUUGGCGAGAGACCGAUAGCGAACAAGUACCGUGAGGGAAAGACGAAAAGAACUUUGAAAAGAGAGUUAAACAGUACGUGAAAUUGUCAAAAGGGAAGCGUUUGACACCAGUGUUGUUUUCUCGAAAAUCAAUUAAAAAGAGUUAGAUUUUGUUGUGUAUUGACCUUAACAGCUUGCAUUUCAAUUUUCUUGCUUUUUUUAAUGCACUUUUCGUUUAACAAGUCAACAUCAGUUCCUUUUGUUGUAAAAAGGUCAUUGGAAGGUGGCUUUCUUUUCGGAGAAAGUGUUUAUAGCCUUUGACUCCUGCAAUCGGAGAGACUGAGGUCUGCAGCGUAGAUCCUUCGGGGUUAGAUACAUUUGUGCUAAGUUAUAGCUUUUUAUAGACAACUUGUUGACUAUGAUUAGUCUGGUAGCUUACUCGCUUAUGCUAUUUUACCUACGCUUAGGAUGUUGAUCUGUAGUGCGUGCGC
rnacentral:rRNA from 1 species